GGGGCUAUAGCUCAGCUGGUUAGAGCGCAGCACUGAUAAUGCUGAGGUCGCUGGUUCAAGUCCAGCUAGCCCCACCA
rnacentral:tRNA from 2 species